rnacentral:rRNA from 1 species
CCUACGGGUGGCAGCAGUGAGGAAUAUUGGUCAAUGGGCGAGAGCCUGAACCAGCCAAGUCGCGUGAAGGAUGACGGCCCUACGGGUUGUAAACUUCUUUUGUCAGGGAGCAAUUGGGUCCACGCGUGGGCUUAGCGAGAGUACCUGAAGAAAAAGCAUCGGCUAACUCCGUGCCAGCAGCCGCGGUAAUACGGAGGAUGCGAGCGUUAUCCGGAUUUACUGGGUGUAAAGGGAGCGUAGACGGUUAUGUAAGUCUGGAGUGAAAGCCCGGGGCCCAACCCCGGGACUGCUUUGGAAACUGUGUAACUGGAGUACAGGAGGGGCAGGCGGAAUUCCUGGUGUAGCGGUGAAAUGCGUAGAUAUCAGGAGGAACACCGGCGGCGAAGGCGGCCUGCUGGACUGAAACUGACGUUGAGGCUCGAAAGCGUGGGGAGCAAACAGGAUUAGAUACCCCUGUAGUC